rnacentral:snoRNA from 1 species
AUUCCAUGAUGAGCGUAAUAACUCUUUGUACCUUUCCCAUGCCUUAUACAAGGACUCAUCAUCUAUUUGAUGGAAGGCAGUGAUCUCGUUCCUCAACUU